GAGACCCCUCCCCAUCCGGUCCCCCACCACAGCGACCCCUGUACUGCCGGCCAGUCUCAACACCCCGACCCCCCCACCCGGAGGCUGUCAAUCACAUGGGAGGCGUGGCCAGUCAGACGUGAGCCCUGGUGGGGGGGGAGGGGAGUGGCACAGACUAUGUCCCCGCCUCCCGAUCUCCCUGCCGCCUCCACCUCCCAACCAAUCACGUUGUCUCCUGACCAUGUGUGCAGCUUUUACCGCUUAGGGGUGUACCAUGCCCGCACGCACACAUACACACACACACACACACGCACGCACACACACACACCCCCGCCAGUAUUCAACCCCCGCCAUCCCCCUCUCACACAUCCUCGCUCAGCAGAAGGUGUCAUCGCAUUCCAGUCCUUUGGAAACAAGAUCCCAGAAUAUGGGGCCGGAUGAACCCCUGCGUCACGCUCCGGGAGACCCCAAACAUCCCAACCAUGUGCUCCAACCCCACGGCCUCUCCGACCGUGAACUGAGCGCGAACUGACCAAGUUUACCACUCGCUUUUCGGAAGGGACCCAAGGGCGCGUAUUUGCUCCUAGAGGCCAAGUGCGGGACCCUUUUUUUUUGUUUGUUGUUUUUUUUAUAUGGCUUUGUUACGUUUGACUUUUCAGUCGACGGUUCUUUCUACGCUGUAAACUUUUCUUACUCCCCCCCUUCUCUAAUCAUGUAAAUAAUUUAAGACUGCUGACUUUUUUUGUAUCCUGGAUUUUGAAGGGCAAGCUUUAUCAAUCCUGUACAUAGUUUUCUUUGUCUGUUUAGAUGCCGCAGAUCAGUUGUUUCAGCUGGGUUUGGCGUUUUGGGGACGAUCGUCGGCACGAGCGCUACUUCACUGGUAACCGUAGUAACCGUUGCCGCUGUGAGAGAGCGUGCGCGCGGUGGUUCUGAAGCUAAGGGAAAAUGUCACAACUUUAUAAUUUUUGUACAGAUCUGCAUGGAUUUCUGUCUGGGGGGGGGGGAGGAGGGAGGGGGAUGAGGUUAAAAUUGAAAAACAGAACGCUGGGGUUCCAAGCUACAACGUUAAGGUGCUUUUGACCUUCAAGUGGGCUUUGUGGAUUUCAAUGUUUUUAAAACUUGCUUUCUGAGUCGCUAUUAAUCGAAUAUGUAGUAGCUGAACGUUUUGGCGAACGAGGAGAGGAAUCAACGAUCUGGUUUGGCGUCAGGCGCUGGAUCUGACGGUUACAGUUUUGAUUUGUGAAACGGGUUCUUAGACCCACUCGAUGGGUCGGUGAGUUGGUCCUCGGGAAGAGCUGAAAUGUACGAGAAGGAUUAUCACUUUAUCGCUGUCUACUAAAUCAGGUGAGAGGCAGACGAGUUGAAUCAAAUCUACCAAGUGUACUUCUAACCCGAAAGAGCUUUAUUUCGAAUUCCCGCUCAUCUGCUGCGACGUUGAUUUUUUUUUUUUUUGUCAUGAAUUUUAAAAGGAGGAUUUAUUUUCACGAGAGUUCUGCGUGUUGGGAGUCGAAAACCCCAUUGACUUUGACCUGUGGUUGAUAAAGAGGAAAUGACAUCAUGGCGUGGACCCCCCACCCCUCUGCCUUCUGAAAAUUCGGGGGCCAUUUUACGCACCUUAUGGGAAAACCAAAAGGAAACCUCGGAAUGCCUCCGCACCUCAGGUCGACCUGAGAGGCGGUUUUCGAAACGCACGUCCCCUUCAGCGGCGAGUUUUACCCCAGGACUGGUGAUUAAAGCGCUCUCGCUCAGAUUACUCUGUGUCAUCAUAACGAGGCUCUGGUUCUGAUAGGCUGAUUAAAGUGCUCGCUCAGAUUACUCUGUGUCAUCAUAACGAGGCUCUGGUUCUGAUAGGCUGAACUGAAGCACAAAUAUGCUGUGGCCCAAUACGGUUACACCUCAGACAGCUUGAGAGGGUAAGAGAGUGGGUCACUGUCGCUCAUCGCUAAAAUACGCUUUGUGUAAAAUGGAGGCUGCCCAGCCCUGUUCCUGGAGAUCUACCCUCUUUUACGUUUUAAUUUCAACCCUAAUUUGGCACACCUGAUUCUAAAAAAUGAGCAGCUCAGUCUGAUCUCUAGCUGUUGACUGAGGGGUGCUUUGUUAGGGUUGGACUGCAAACCUACAGGACAGUAGAUCCCCAGGAACAGGAUUGGGCAGCCUUUGAUGUAAAACUCUGAGGACACCACAAGCCUCCAUCCACAGAGGACAGACAGACAGAGAGAGAGAGUGGUGAGAGAUUUCCUUGCUCUCCAUUACCAGUCUUGUAAUUUUGGCAGAAUCAUGGAUGUUGAUCUGCCAGACUGAUCACAAACAUUUUUUUUGUGUGUAGAUCAUAGAUUACAGAACUACUAGACUGAACACAGCAUUUACCAGAGGUUUUCUCAAAAAGUCCCGUCCAAUAACAUAGCCUGAACAGAAGCCCCUCGCGGAAAACCUUGAUGGAGCCCUGAUUAGAACCUCCCAAUUUAAACCAAAGCAGCAUCCAGCAUGGAUCUAAGAAGAGUAGACUGGCCCAGCGUGGUCAAAGCCCAGAUAGUAUGAAUUGUGUCUGUCACAUUCCGUAUGGGUGAAACAUGAUCUAGAGAUGCUCUUGACUAGUGCUUGCAAGGUAUUGUGGGAUGUCAGGAAUGUUGCCUGAGGUGUGGGGUUUGUGUUCUGGAAAAUAAGAGUUUGGGGGUGUGUUCCCCCUUGUGUGUGUGUGGUGUCGACUCUCACAGGCCCAAUUUUGGGGUAAAUCGAGGGGUGCCCACAUUCAGGUAUAAAUUUUUUAAUCCAAUCCGUUCAUGUGUUGAGUUUGGAGGUUUUUUUAAUAAAGGAGUCAAGCAAAGCCUUUAAAAUCAUUUUUAGGACCUUAUUGUCAGGUCUGAACCUUCUGUGUCCUGGUUCUGCUUAGAGUUUAGAGAUUUUGCAUCAUUUCACUGGUGAAGUGGCUUGACCGUUCUCGAGAAGCAGCCAUUUUGUUUGCUUCUUGUCCAUCUGCUACUUGCCCCUCCUUGAAAGUCUUUGGGAAGCUGACUGGUUCUUUCUUUUCACAAAUCAGUCCCUCCUCUUACGGAGUUUGUGUCUAAGCACAAUCCUACUUCAUCUCUCUUGCAAUGUAAAUAUGUUUAUUUGUUUUUAAUUUAUGUUUAUUGCAGAAAUCAAUCCAUUUGGGUUGGUGGUAUAUAUGAAUGCACUUCAUGCAAUAAUUGUCAAGUGCAUUGAAAUAUUGUGACUUCUUACAAGUCUAAAUUUAAUAAAAAAAUGUUCUAUGACAUUUCUUUCA